GACGAACGCUGGCGGCGUGCCUAACACAUGCAAGUCGAGCGAGGAGAUUCCCUUCGGGGAUGAACCUAGCGGCGGACGGGUGAGUAACACGUGGGCAACCUGCCUUGUAGAGGGGAAUAGCCUUCCGAAAGGAAGAUUAAUACCGCAUAACAUUGCUUUAUCGCAUGAUAGAGCAAUCAAAGGAGCAAUCCGCUACAAGAUGGGCCCGCGGCGCAUUAGCUAGUUGGUGAGGUAAAGGCCCACCAAGCCGAUGACGGGUAGCUGGUCUGAGAGGAUGAUCAGCCACACUGGCACUGAGAUACGGGCCAGACUCCUACGGGUGGCUG
rnacentral:rRNA from 1 species